AAAUUACUAUGUAUUAUAUAAUAAUUAGUAAAUUUUCAAUUAAAACUUAUAAGUUCUGUUAUAUUACUUUCAGAUAUAACAUUUGAAAUCUGGGAUUCAAAUAGUGAUGCCUGAAGAAACUCUGCAGCAGCUCUUUACAUUCUUGGAAAAGAUGGGAGCCAUAAGGAGGGAGGUAUUAAGGACAAAUUGAUAGCUGAAAGAAGUACCUUAUUAAUGUUAUUUAUUAUUAAAUUGAAUAAAGUUUCCUAUGGUUGAU